rnacentral:rRNA from 1 species
AUUGAACGCUGGCGGCAUGCUUUACACAUGCAAGUCGGACGGCAGCACAGAGAAGCUUGCUUCUUGGGUGGCGAGUGGCGAACGGGUGAGUAACAUAUCGGAACGUACCGAGCAGUGGGGGAUAACUAAUCGAAAGAUUAGCUAAUACCGCAUAUCUUCUGAGGAAGAAAGCAGGGGACCAUUUGGCCUUGCGCUGUUUGAGCGGCCGAUAUCUGAUUAGCUAGUUGGUGGGGUAAAGGCCUACCAAGGCGACGAUCAGUAGCGGGUCUGAGAGGAUGAUCCGCCACACUGGGACUGAGACACGGCCCAGACUCCUACGGGAGGCAGCAGUGGGGAAUUUUGGACAAUGGGCGAAAGCCUGAUCCAGCCAUGCCGCGUGUCUGAAGAAGGCCUUCGGGUUGUAAAGGACUUUUGUCAGGGAAGAAAAGGGCGGGGUUAAUACCCCUGUCUGAUGACGGUACCUGAAGAAUAAGCACCGGCUAACUACGUGCCAGCAGCCGCGGUAAUACGUAGGGUGCGAGCGUUAAUCGGAAUUACUGGGCGUAAAGCGGGCGCAGACGGUUACUUAAGCAGGAUGUGAAACCCCCGGGCUCAACCUGGGAACUGCGUUCUGAACUGGGUGACUAGAGUGUGUCAGAGGGAGGUAGAACUCCACGUGUAGCAGUGAAAUGCGUAGAGAUGUGGAGGAAUACCGAUGGCGAAGGCAGCCUCCUGGGAUAACACUGACGUUCAUGCCCGAAAGCGUGGGUAGCAAACAGG